GACAGAGGGUGCAACCGUUGUUCGGAAUUACUGGGCGUAAAGCGCGUGUAGGCUGUUAAUUAAGUCGAGUGUGAAAUCCCCAGGCUCAACCUGGGAAGUGCAUUCGAAACUAAUUGGCUUGAAGACGGUAGAGGAAGGUAGAAUUCCUAGUGUAGAGGUGAAAUUCGUAGAUAUUAGGAGGAACACCGGUGGCGAAGGCGGCCUUCUGGACCGUUCUUGACGCUGAGACGCGAAAGCGUGGGUAGCAAACAGG
rnacentral:rRNA from 1 species